GACGAACGCUGGCGGCGUGCUUAACACAUGCAAGUCGAACGGAAAGGCCCUGCGUGUUUGGUGUGCUGGGGUGGCGAACGGGUGAGUAACAGGAGAGUAACCUGCCCUUGUCUUUGGGAUAAGUUCAGGUAGCUGGGGCUAAUACCGGAUAGGAGCUCCCGUUGCAUGGUGGGGGUUGGAUAUUUUCGGCGGGUGGGGUUGGACUCGCGGCUUAUGAGCUUGUUGGUGGGGGAGUGGAAGGCCAAGGCUGGGAAGGGUCGCCGGCCGGAGAGGGUGAACGGCCACAAUGGGACUGAGAUACGGACCAGACUCCUACGGGAGGCAGCAGUGGGGAAUAUUGCACAAUGGGCGGAAGCCUGAUGCAGAGACGCCGCGUGCGGGAUGACGGCCUUCGGGUUGUAAACCGCUUUCGGCUGAGACGAAGCGUGAGUGACGGUAACGGAUGAAGAAGCACCGGCUAACUACGUG
rnacentral:rRNA from 1 species